UACGAAGGGGGCUAGCGUUGUUCGGAAUUACUGGGCGUAAAGCGCACGUAGGCGGAUCUAUAAGUCAGGGGUGAAAUCCCGGGGCUCAACCUCGGAACUGCCUCUGAUACUGUCGAUCUCGAGUCCGAUAGAGGUGAGUGGAAUUCCUAGUGUAGAGGUGAAAUUCGUAGAUAUUAGGAAGAACACCAGUGGCGAAGGCGGCUCACUGGCUCGAUACUGACGCUGAGGUGCGAAAGCGUGGGGAGCAAGCAGG
rnacentral:rRNA from 1 species